rnacentral:rRNA from 1 species
GACGUAGGUGGCGAACGUUAUCCGGAAUCAUUGGGCGUAAAGCGCACGUAGGCGGCCUGUUAAGUCGGGUGUGAAAGCCCUGGGCUCAACCCAGGAAGUGCACUCGAAACUGGCGGGCUUGAAUAUGGAAGAGGGUCGCGGAAUUCCCGGUGUAGAGGUGAAAUUCGUAGAUAUCGGGAGGAACACCAGUGGCGAAGGCGGCGACCUGGGCCAAUAUUGACGCUGAGGUGCGAAAGCGUGGGGAGCAAACAGG